rnacentral:rRNA from 1 species
GAUGAACGCUGGCGGCGUGCCUAACACAUGCAAGUCGAACGGGAUGCGUAUCGGAAAGCUUCGGCCGGAAGAUGCGUUAUCUAGUGGCGGACGGGUGAGUAACACGUGGGUAACCUGCCUUAUGGAGGGGGAUAACAGAGAGAAAUCACUGCUAAUACCGCAUAAGCACACAGUACCGCAUGGUACAGGGUGAAAAGAUUUAUCACCAUAAGAUGGACCCGCGUCUGAUUAGCCAGUUGGCAGGGUAAAAGCCUACCAAAGCAACGAUCAGUAGCCGAUCUGAGAGGAUGACCGGCCACAUUGGGACUGAGACACGGCCCAAACUCCUACGGGAGGCAGCAGUGGGGAAUAUUGCACAAUGGGGGAAACCCUGAUGCAGCGACGCCGCGUGAGUGAAGAAGUAUUUCGGUAUGUAAAGCUCUAUCAGCAGGGAAGAUAAUGACAGUACCUGACUAAGAAGCCCCGGCUAACUACGUGCCAGCAGCCGCGGUAAUACGUAGGGGGCAAGCGUUAUCCGGAUUUACUGGGUGUAAAGGGAGCGUAGACGGAGUGGCAAGUCUGAAGUGAAAACCCUGGGCUUAACCUGGGGACUGCUUUGGAAACUGUUAAUCUAGAGUGUUGGAGAGGUAAGUGGAAUUCCUGGUGUAGCGGUGAAAUGCGUAGAUAUCAGGAAGAACACCGGAGGCGAAGGCGGCUUACUGGACAAUAACUGACGUUGAGGCUCGAAAGCGUGGGGAUCAAACAGG